CCCUUAGAUGUUCUGGGCCGCACGCGCGCUACACUGAUGCAUUCAACGAGUCUAAAACCUGCUCUGAUAGGGGUGGGUAAUCUUUUGAAUGUGUAUCGUGAUUGGGAUAGAUGAUUGCAAUUUUUCAUCUUCAACGAGGAAUGCCUAGUAAACGCAAGUCAUCAGCUUGCAUUGAUUACGUCCCUGCCCUUUGUACACACCGCCCGUCGCUCCUACCGAUUGAAUGAUCCGAUGAAUAUCAUGGAUUGAGGAUGCAAGUAGGUUCGCCUAUCUUCAUCUUCGAGAAGUGAAGUAAAUCUUAUCAUUUAGAGGAAGGAGAAGUCGUAACA
rnacentral:rRNA from 1 species